rnacentral:rRNA from 1 species
AGAGUUUGAUCCUGGCUCAGGAUGAACGCUGGCGGCGUGCCUAAUACAUGCAAGUCGAACGCUCUAGUUUACUAGAGAGUGGCGAACGGGUGAGUAACACGUAGGUAAUCUGCCCUUAAGACGAGGAUAACAGUUGGAAACGAUUGCUAAGACUGGAUAGGAAUAUUUAAGGCAUCUUAAAUAUUUUAAAAGACCUUCGGGUAUGCUUAAGGAGGAACCUGCGGCGCAUUAGCUAGUUGGUAGUGUAAUGGACUACCAAGGCGAUGAUGCGUAGCCGGACUGAGAGGUUGAACGGCCACAUUGGGACUGAGACACGGCCCAAACUCCUACGGGAGGCAGCAGUAGGGAAUUUUCGGCAAUGGGGGAAACCCUGACCGAGCAACGCCGCGUGAAUGACGAAGUACUUCGGUAUGUAAAGUUCUUUUAUUAGGGAAGAAUGACUUAUGGAAAAAUAAGUGUGACGGUACCUAAUGAAUAAGCCCCGGCUAACUAUGUGCCAGCAGCCGCGGUAAUACAUAGGGGGCAAGCGUUAUCCGGAAUUAUUGGGCGUAAAGGGUGCGUAGGCGGCCUGUUAAGUCUAAGGUGUAAGUGCAGUGCUUAACGCUGUGAUGCUUUGGAAACUGGCAGGCUUGAGUGUGGUAGAGGUAAGUGGAAUUCCAUGUGUAGCGGUAAAAAUGCGUAAAUGUAUGGAGGGACACCAGUGGGCGAAGGCGGCUUAACUGGGCCACAACUGACGCUGAGGCCUAAUAGUUUGGGGAGCAAUCAGGAUUAGAUACCCUGGUAGUCCACGCCGUAAAACGAUGAGUACUAAGUGUUGGAGAAAUUCAGUGCUGUAGUUAAACGCAAUAAGUACUCCGCCUGAGUAGUACGUACGCAAGUAUGAAACUCAAAGGAAUUGACGGGACCCCGCACAAGCGGUGGAUCAUGUUGUUUAAUUCGAUGAUACGCGAAAAACCUUACCAGGUCUUGACAUCCCCUGCAAAGCUAUAGAGAUAUAGUAGAGGUUAUCAGGGAGACAGGUGGUGCAUGGUUGUCGUCAGCUCGUGUCGUGAGAUGUUGGGUUAAGUCCCGCAACGAGCGCAACCCUUAUUGCUAGUUACCAUCAUUAAGUUGGGGACUCUAGCGAGACUGCCAGUGACAAACUGGAGGAAGGUGGGGAUGACGUCAAAUCAUCAUGCCCCUUAUGACCUGGGCUACAAACGUGAUACAAUGGCUAAAACAAAGGGCAGCUAAGCAGUGAUGUGGAGCGAAACCCAUAAAAAUAGUCUCAGUUCGGAUUGAAGUCUGCAACUCGACUUCAUGAAGCCGGAAUCGCUAGUAAUCGCGAAUCAGAAUGUCGCGGUGAAUACGUUCUCGGGGUUUGUACACACCGCCCGUCAAACCACGAAAGUCGACUAUACCCAAAGCCGGUGGCCUAACCGUAAGGAGGGAGCCGUUUAAGGUAGGGUUGAUGAUUGGGGUUAAGUCGUAACAAGGUAGCCGUA